UAUUAAUGUCUCCUACGAUGUUUAAAGUGUGGCUGAGGGGUACUGAGUUGAAUGCAGUCUCCUCUGCCCAGCAUGUAAUUUCACCACGCUCAAUGAGAAGUGAGUGGCUCUGUCAAGCUUUACUUGCCUUUUUGAACCAAAUCAGGUCUUCUUUUCUUCAUUUUUAAUCUGCUUCAUGUAAAAUACAUAAGACAAAGUAAGUAGGGACAGCUUU